rnacentral:rRNA from 1 species
UGGGGAAUAUUGCACAAUGGGCGCAAGCCUGAUGCAGCAACGCCGCGUGAGGGAUGACGGCCUUCGGGUUGUAAACCUCUUUUAGCAGGGAAGAAGCGAAAGUGACGGUACCUGCAGAAAAAGCGCCGGCUAACUACGUGCCAGCAGCCGCGGUAAUACGUAGGGCGCAAGCGUUAUCCGGAAUUAUUGGGCGUAAAGAGCUCGUAGGCGGUUUGUCGCGUCUGCUGUGAAAUCCCGAGGCUCAACCUCGGGUCUGCAGUGGGUACGGGCAGACUAGAGUGCGGUAGGGGAGAUUGGAAUUCCUGGUGUAGCGGUGGAAUGCGCAGAUAUCAGGAGGAACACCGAUGGCGAAGGCGGAUCUCUGGGCCGUAACUGACGCUGAGGAGCGAAAGGGUGGGGAGCAAACAGGCUUAGAUACCCUGGUAGUCCACCCCGUAAACGUUGGGAACUAGUUGUGGGGUCCAUUCCACGGAUUCCGUGACGCAGCUAACGCAUUAAGUUCCCCGCCUGGGGAGUACGGCCGCAAGG